rnacentral:rRNA from 1 species
UACGUAGGGGGCGAGCGUUAUCCGGAUUCAUUGGGCGUAAAGCGCGCGUAGGCGGCCGCCUAAGCGGAACCUCUAACCCCGGGGCUCAACCUCGGGCCGGGUUCCGGACUGGGCGGCUCGAGUGCGGUAGAGGAGAGCGGAAUUCCCGGUGUAGCGGUGGAAUGCGCAGAUAUCGGGAAGCACACCGAUGGCGAAGGCAGCUCUCUGGGCCGUCACUGACGCUGAGGCGCGAAAGCUGGGGGAGCGAACAGG